rnacentral:rRNA from 1 species
CCUACGAGAGACAGCAGUGGGGAAUAUUGCGCAAUGGGCGAAAGCCUGACGGAGCGACGCCGCGUGAGGGAUGAAGGUCUUCGGAUCGUAAACCUCUGUCAGCAGGGAAGAACGGUCACUGUGCUAACUAGCAGUGAAUUGACGGUACCUGCACAGGAAGCACCGGCUAACUCCGUGCCAGCAGCCGCGGUAAUACGGAGGGUGCGAGCGUUAUUCGGAAUUAUUGGGCGUAAAGCGCUCGUAGGCGGUUUGUCAAGUCAAGGGUGAAAGCCCCGGGCUCAACGGGGGAACGGCCUUUGAAACGGGGAAACUGGAGUGUGUAAGAGGAGAGUGGAAUUCCAGGUGUAGGAGUGAAAUCCGUAGAUAGAUGGAGGAACAGCAGUGGCGAAGGCGACUAUCUGGCACAUAACUGACGCUGAGGAGCGAAAGCGUGGGUAGCAAACAGGAUUAGAUACCCGUGUAGUC